ACACUUUGGUCUAUUUCUGACAUGAGAUCUGUCAGGAAAGCAGCAGUAUGGACGGCAAGAUAAAGCCUGGCCACAAACAUAAUCAGAGGCAAGACAGAGUCCAUGGUAAUCCUAAGCCAAGAGGAAAUUUGUUCUGCUGGAUAGCCAUUUCCUCAACAGUCCAACCACUUUCCAGUCCAGUCUCCAUAUGCUGCAAAAGAGGAGCCCAAAGAUGAAUAAAG